rnacentral:rRNA from 1 species
UAGGGAAUCUUCCGCAAUGGGCGAAAGCUUGACGGAGCAACGCCGCGUGAGUGAUGAAGGUCUUCGGAUCGUAAAACUCUGUUAUUAGGGAAGAACAAAUGUGUAAGUAACUAUGCACGUCUUGACGGUACCUAAUCAGAAAGCCACGGCUAACUACGUGCCAGCAGCCGCGGUAAUACGUAGGUGGCAAGCGUUAUCCGGACUUAUUGGGCGUAAAGCGCGCGUAGGCGGUUUUUUAAGUCUGAUGUGAAAGCCCACGGCUCAACCGUGGAGGGUCAUUGGAAACUGGAAAACUUGAGUGCAGAAGAGGAAAGUGGAAUUCCAUGUGUAGCGGUGAAAUGCGCAGAGAUAUGGAGGAACACAAGUGGCGAAGGCGACUUUCUGGUCUGUAACUGACGCUGAUGUGCGAAAGCGGGGGGAUCAAACAGG